UCCGAUAACGGACGAGACCUUGACCUUUAAUUCUUGACUGUUAUCUUAAACGGAAGAGUCUUAAAGGGACUCAAUGUUCCAAACAUUGGGAAGAUCAAGGCAAUAACAGGUCUGUGAUGCCCUUAGAUAACCUGGGCUGCACGUGUGCUACAAUAACAUGCACAACGAGUACCAAUAUCGAAACGAUGUUGUGAAUCUUCAAAGCGUGUUAAGGUGGGGAUUGUCGGUUGUAAUUGUCCGUCAUAAACGAGGAAUUCCUAGUAAGCGCAAGUCAUUAUCUUGAGUUGAUUUCGUCCCUGCCCUUUAAA
rnacentral:ncRNA from 1 species